GGUCCUAUGGGGCCGUGUUUGACUUUGCUAACCCACCCAGUGGUGAAAUCCUCUUGAGGUCCUAUGGGAACCCUGCUAAUUGGAAGCUGGAGCAACUUAUGACACCAAAGUUCAGAUUAGCAGCAACCUCUUUAGGUUAACAGCUUCUAUUGGUGAAAUCCUCUUUAGCCAUUUCUUUGGCAUAUUUAUAUUCUUUCCUUGUUUAUGGUAAUUUUGAUCAGGUUAACUUGGAAUUUUCAUGCUGUUUUGUUUAUGAGAAAAUAGUUAAAAGUAAAGGAUUGUCAACCGUAUGCAGUGAAUUACUGAAAUAGUGUAGUAUGAUUUUGUAGAAUUAUGGACUAGACGACUAGUCAUCAUUUUUAUAGUUGGCUAGUAAUUAGGACAGUGAAAGGUUAUGGUUGAGUUUGUCAAUAUUAGGUGAGAACCAGUUUGAUUGAUUAUUUAAUAUAAAUGUGUCCUGGGAUGGGAUUUAUCUGCAAUCCUCUUUAUGCUUUUGUAAUAUCACCCUCUGAUCAAUGUACAUUUAGUUUUAGGCCUAUAGAAAUGAUCACCAUCGAUUGUGGCUCUUUCUUGAUUUUUUUUUCCAUGUGACUUGUUGCCAGAUAAUCAGGUAGAACCACCUUCAUUUAUCGUUAACCUGACCUAUACUUGUUUUAUGAGAAAAGAUAACUCAAAUUAUCCCCAUAUGGACAUGCCAAUACAUGCUAUAAAUGUCAUUGAAAACCUAAGGUAUUUGACUGCUACUCUGAUAGUAGUGAAGGUAUAGCUCUUCAUCUAUGACUUGUAUGUUCAAAGUGCGGUAGAGAAGGCAGGUUUGGCUGUAAACAAGAAAGGUUUGACUUUAAAAGAACUUCUCCAGCAAACAUCUCAUCACAAUCCAAAAGUUCGUAGAGAUGCAUUGAUUGGUAUUAAGGAUUUAUUCACCAGAUAUCCAACUGAAUAGAAGUUGCACAAAUAUGCUACUGUAGAAAAACUUCGUGAGCGUAUUGGUGAUGAUGAUAAAGUGGUUCGAAAAUCAUUAUAUGAUCUUUUUAAAGUAGUGAUUUUACCUUGCUGUAAAGAGGUACUUUCCAUUUUGUUUACUUAAAUCACUUUUCUGACACAUUGGGAUUAUACACCAUUAUCAUUUGGAUGGAUAAAAUAUUGUAGGUUGUCGCU